rnacentral:rRNA from 1 species
CGGAGGGAUCAUUACAGAGUUUUCUAAACUCCCAACCCUAUGUGAACUUACCUUUGUUGCUUCGGCGGCGGAGGCUACCCUGCGGGAGAAUACCACUUAGUGGUUACCCUGUAGUUUCAGGUACAUCAGCUACCCGGUAGUCAUCCCCGCCGGCGGCCAACUAAACUCUGUUUUCUUUGGAAUUCUGAAUAACAAACUUAAUAAGUUAAAACUUUCAACAACGGAUCUCUUGGUUCUGGCAUCGAUGAAGAACGCAGCGAAAUGCGAUAAGUAAUGUGAAUUGCAGAAUUCAGUGAAUCAUCGAAUCUUUGAACGCACAUUGCGCCCAUUAGCAUUCUAGUGGGCAUGCCUGUUCGAGCGUCAUUUCACCACUUAAGCCUUGUUGCUUAGCGUUGGGAGCCUACGGCACGGCCCGUAGCUCCUUAAAGUGAUUGGCGGAGUUGGUUCUCACUCUAAGCGUAGUAAUUAUAUCUCGCUUCUGUAGUGGUCCCGGCCCCUGCCGUAAAACCCCUUAUACAAAGGUUGACCUCGGAUCAGGUAGGAAUACCCGCUGAACUUAAGCAUAUCAAUAAGCGGAGGAAAAGAAACCAACAGGGAUUGCCCUAGUAACGGCGAGUGAAGCGGCAACAGCUCAAAUUUGAAAUC